GCACGAUCGCGAUGCGCCUCUUCCUCCAAAGGUUGUUCAUGCCAAGAGGAUAGAGAAGACCAACCUGCUGUUUGUGGUGGCCGAGACCCCCUGCAAGUCGUGCGAGAUGGAGAAGCUGGCUCAGGUGAAGACCGAGUGUAUCCUUCCUUCAGCUCCCCUCCCUCAUGAAAUCAGUUUUCCCCCAAUUUUGUCAGCGUGACAAGCUGUCAACAACCAGAAAGAGGAAAAAAAAAAUUUCAGAAGCACAUUUGAAACUUUAAGUGAGUAAUUAAUCACCUUGGAGCAACACGUACAGUGUUUCCCUUUUUCUGUGGUCACGACGUUUUCCUUCGGGUCUCUUCUCAAAUAUUCGGAAACAUUAUGAGCAGUGUGCAGCGCUGCACGAUGUGAAACGCACGUAUUUGAAAAUGCUCCCGAAAAGCUUUCACACGCUCUACAGUUGCAAGUUGUUCAAAAAUGCACCUUUACUGCUGUUUGGAAAGUUGUUCUCUGCGUAGUACUGCUCAGUCUUCAUUGGACUGGACACAAAGACAGCUUUACUUGCCAGCAUGUAGAGCAAUAUGUGGCAAAAGGAUGCGUUGUUUCUCCAUGGCCUGGCAAGGCGCUGGACGCUGUCGGUCCAAGUGACUGUAUUUCAGAACCGAGUCGGAGCCCCGGUUGUGCUUAGUUGUCCUUAGCCUGAGUGCGAAGUCCAGGAAGAGAACCCGUGUGAGCUGCUGAGCUUGGCGCGCUACAGGAGAGGGCCGUCCACCUGCUUCGACUACAACGUCCAGGAAGUGGUGCAGUCCCAGAAAGGCCAGGCAGGCAGAAGACGUCAGUGUGAGGGUACGGACGGCGGAUGGAGGCAGCAGUGGAGACCAGAUCUGCCCAGCUCCACGUCUCCCUGGUCAUGACUGCUCGCUUCGUCCCUCGACUCUGAUGUUGGAUACUCGCUCCAGGCCUGUUUUCCAAUCGACCGACCAUUCGCCAGUCUCCGACCACAAGAACCAGCCUAGUCCUUCCGUUUUGAAUAAAUGCUCCUGCACUUGGGUCCAGCCUCCUCCAUGUCCUCUGUUUGCCAUGACACCCCAGAAUUCCCC
rnacentral:lncRNA from 1 species